UACGGAGGCAGCGAGCGUUGUUCGGAGUUACUGGGCGUAAAGCGUGCGUAGGCGGUCUUGUAAGUCUGGUGUGAAAUCUCCCGGCUCAACUGGGAGGGUGCGCCGGAAACUGCAAGGCUGGAGUAUGGGAGAGGUAGGCGGAAUUCCUGGUGUAGCGGUGAAAUGCGUAGAUAUCAGGAGGAACACCUGUGGUGUAGACGGCUUACUGGACCAUGACUGACGCUGAGGCACGAAGGCGUGGGGAGCAAACAGG
rnacentral:rRNA from 1 species